UUGGACUACAAUUUAAUUACCUGAUCCCUUCAAUGGAUAAUUUGGACUGUCUUAGUGAUGUACAGGUAGCAGAGAAGAAGCUGUUUCUAGUUCAAGGAGAGAAACCUCAACUAAUUAAUUGG